rnacentral:rRNA from 1 species
GUUCUGCCAGAAGCCGAUGGUGGCGGUCUGACCUGGGGUAAGGGUGUUGGCCGCUUCGCCGAAGUUGUAGUUUUCAGCUUCAUCACCAUACCCGAGCUCAAUGUUGGAGAAUACAUCGUUAAUGCUCAUGUCUGGUAAUGGGU